rnacentral:rRNA from 1 species
CGGAGGUGCGAGCGUUGUCCGGAUUUAUUGGGUUUAAAGGGUGCGUAGGCGGCCGACUAAGUCUGGGUGAAGCCCGCUGCUCAACAGCGGAACUGCCCUGGAUACUGGUUGGCUUGAGUACAGACGAGGUUGGCGGAAUGGACGGAGUAGCGGUGAAAUGCAUAGAUACCGUCCAGAACCCCGAUUGCGAAGGCAGCUGACUAGGCUGUUACUGACGCUGAGGCACGAAAGCGUGGGAGCGAACAGGAUU